GAAUUAGAUGAAGAAAUUUAUUUUGACAUUGAAGUUAAUAAUGAUAUCGAUAAAGGGCCUAUUUCUCGAAAAGAAAAUGUAAUGAGUGUUAAAAAUAAACAUGAAGUUUGUUCAGUAUUGGAUGAAAGCAUUCGUUGUGAAGUUGAAGAAUAUAAAGUUAUACAUGUUGAUAAUAAUGAUGAAGGAAAAUUGUCAGUAACAAGAGCAUUAAAUCGUAGUUUGGAUGGGAUGGAACUAAAUGAACAUUUAAGCAAUAUGACCAAAGUGUAUAAACGGUUUGGAA